CGACAAUAUCCCACGUAUAUUUCUUUAUGAACGCGCGGGGCGCGAACGGUUUUAAUACAUUAAAACGUUUAGGAAAAAAAAAAAAAAAAUCCUUUCGCGCGGAGUAGGUACUCGCCGUAGCGUUUUCGAUUCUAACGCGGCGGACGGGAAUCUGAAACCGUUCACAACACGAGACGUGCGCACACCUAUAACUGCGGGGCCUAAAUUACUGUAUCCCCCGACACACUUUGCGUCCCCUCAAAAUCAUAAUGUGUCCAUUGAAUUAUAAAUGCUUUUAGUUUUUGAUCGUAGAAACAACAAACGGUUUGGAAUUUCACCACAAACAAAUCACGUUUAUG